rnacentral:rRNA from 1 species
UACGUAGGUGGCAAGCGUUGUCCGGAUUUACUGGGCGUAAAGAGCGCGCAGGCGGUCGUUCAAGUCGCGUGUGAAAGCCCCCGGCUCAACUGGGGAGGGUCACUCGAUACUGAUCGACUCGAAGGCAGGAGAGGGAAGUGGAAUUCCCGGUGUAGUGGUGAAAUGCGUAGAUAUCGGGAGGAACACCAGUGGCGAAGGCGACUUCCUGGCCUGUUCUUGACGCUGAGGCGCGAAAGCUAGGGGAGCAAACGGG